rnacentral:rRNA from 1 species
UAACCCGCACCACUUAUCGUGGUGGGAGACAGUGUCAGGCGGGCAGUUUGACUGGGGCGGUCGCCUCCUAAAAGGUAACGGAGGCGCUCCAAGGUUCCCUCAGAAUGGUUGGAAAUCAUUCAUAGAGGGUAAAGGCAUAAGGGAGCUUGACUGCGAGACCUACAAGUCGAGCAGGGUCGAAAGACGGACUUAGUGAUCCGGUGGUUCCGCAUGGAAG